rnacentral:rRNA from 1 species
ACGAAAAAUAACGAUACGGGACUCAUCCGAGGCCCCGUAAUCGGAAUGAGUACACUCUAAACACUUUAACAAACAUCAAUUGGAGGGCAAGUCUGGUGCCAGCAGCCGCGGUAAUUCCAGCUCCAAUAGCGUAUAUUAAAGUUGUUGCGGUUAAAAAGCUCGUAGUCGAAUUUGUGUCCCGCGCCGCCGGUUCAUCGCUCGCGGUGUUAACUGGCGUGUCCGCGGGACGUCCUGCCGGUGGGCGUAGCUCCUGUGGGCGGCCCAAUUUCAAUCCCACCGCGGUGCUCUUCACUGAGUGUCGAGGUGGGCCGGCACGUUUACUUUGAACAAAUUAGAGUGCUUAAAGCAGGCUAAAAUAUCGCCUGAAUAUAUUGUGCAUGGAAUAAUGGAAUAGGACCUCGGUUCUAUUUUGUUGGUUUUCGGAACCCCGAGGUAAUGAUUAAUAGGAACGGAUGGGGGCAUUCGUAUUGCGACGCUAGAGGUGAAAUUCUUGGAUCGUCGCAAGACGGACAGAAGCGAAAGCAUUUGCCAAAAACGCUUUCAUUGAUCAAGAACGAAAGUUAGAGGUUCGAAGGCGAUCAGAUACCGCCCUAGUUCUAACCAUAAACGAUGCCAGCUAGCGAUCCGCCGACGUUCCUCCGAUGACUCGGCGGGCAGCUUCCGGGAAACCAAAGCUUUUGGGUUCCGGGGGAAGUAUGGUUGCAAAGCUGAAACUUAAAGGAAUUGACGGAAGGGUACCACCAGGAGUGGAGCCUGCGGCUUAAUUUGACUCAACACGGGAAACCUCACCAGGCCCGGACACCGGAAGGAUUGACAGAUUGAGAGC